GGAGGGAGGGAGGAGGUGGUGUGUAACUGCUGUGAGCCAGCGGUUCAGAGGACGGCGCAGAAGGAAGGACAUAAUAAAGGAAGAGUUUUCUACACUUGUGGGAAACUCAGAGAUCAACAGUGUGGAUUCUUCCUCUGGGCUGACGAGAACAUCCCACCGCCGGGUUCUGGAGGAAGAGGGGGAGACUGGGGGAAGAGGGGGAGGGAGACUGGGGGAGGACUAGCCCCCCCCCACCACCAAACCCCCCGUCGCUAGGAAACCCCGUACCUGUGGAAUCUGUCACCUGCCCGGACACACACGUGUCACCUGCCCUCAACGCUGACCUUUAACCCCGAUCCCACUGCUGCCAUGGAGAUGCUCUGACCCCCUCCAGUGUGAAAUUGUUCCCUGACAGAGGUCAGCUUAGAGAGGUGUUAAACCAGGGUUCAUUUGGGACAGGAGCAGAGAGGGACUGGGUUAAUUUGGGACAGGAGAGGGAUUGGGUUCAUUUGGGACAGGACGGGGACGGGGACUGGGUUCAUUUGGGACUACAUUUAAAAUGACAUGGAGAAUGAGUGAAUUAAUCGAUAUUUUACAGAGAAAUAAAUGAAUGAAUUUGAAUGGCAGUUUUUUUCCCCAAUAUGUAACAUUGGACUAAAGAACAGAAUUAUAAAUCCAAAAUACCAGCUAGGAGGAGAAAGAGAAGAUUAAUACUGUUAUUUAUGAAUGUUUAUAUUUUAAGAAAUCACUGAUCGCAGCAAUCUGUUGUCCUGUAUUCUGUCUGACAGUUCUGACAAGUGCCUCUAAAAUCUCUCCCAUAUAAUGUUGAUUUAAUAUUUACUAAGUUACAGUAGGAAGGACUUGAUGAUAUUAAAUUAAAUGGAAAUAUUGGUUCGAUCAUAGCAGAAGAGGAAUUGGGCGAAACUAGAAUAUAUCUUUGAUUAUGGAUCAUUUUAAUGUUGAUUGAUUUGACUUCAGAGAGUUAUAGUGAAGUUUCUAUGGCAGCUGUCUCCUGAGUCGGCGACUUCCUGUUCCGGUUCCCCCAGACCGCAAGGGUGUUUCCGGGUCCCGACAGCUGUUGUUCUGUCAAAUGUUUAGGAAUUUUGGCUAACGCCUUUUUAUCCUUAUUAACUUAAUUAUCCUAGUCUGCUACGAAAAGUCAAAUCUUAUGUUCAUUUGACAAAAGCAGGAUUUCCCCCCCAGUCCUUCACACCCACAAAGUCAACUUACCACCGCUACAUAUUUGGCUAUAUCGUAAAAAUGUAUGAAAAACAAAAAAAUACAAAAAUAUGCAUUUAAUAUAAGGUUAAGCGUAAGAUUCCCUGUAUGGGUAAGGUUUAAAAAAAAAAAACAUUUUAAUCAGAUAAAUUGUAGAUAUAAACGAGGUUGAUGACUGCUUUGUGGCUGUGGUAACUAGUGAGCACCAUCCGCUCCGCCCUGAUAACCCAAACACCGACACAAACCGGACACCGACAUAAACCGGACACCGACACAAACCGGACACCGACCGACCGACCUGACGGUUUCCCGAAGCACAAAUGGCUGCCACCGGAGUCCUUCCUUUUAUCCGGGGGGUAGACCUCUCUGGAAACGACUUCAAAGGAGGUUACUUCCCCUGAGCACGUCAAGUCUAUGAGCAGUCUGAGAUGGCUGAAACUCAACAGGACGGGUCUGUGUUACCUGCCAGAGGAAGUGGCUGCACUGCAGAAACUGGUGAGUACAGACUGAUGUGUAGGUC